rnacentral:lncRNA from 1 species
UCACCACCUUAACCCCAAACUGACUCCUCGGCCAGCCAGGGCAAAAGAUUAACCAAUGGUCUUCGGUCAUGGGUUCACUGACAGGGCCAACCGUGGAGACAGAGCGCCAACUUUUUGUUUGUUUUAAAGGAAAUACUUCCUGGCACACGUUUAGCGAAGACUCUGAACUCUGUGCAUGAAGCCACGUGGUUGGUGCUAAUCUGGCUCCAUCCCCUCAUGAUCCGCCAAAGCAACCUCUUUCCGAAUGGCAGCCCCUGGCUGGGUAAUCUACACCAUCUCGGUCAAGUCACGCGGGCUCGCGCCGGAUCCUGGGGAGCCUAACUCUGCAUCCUCUCCCCGUGGCAGUCCCGACAGGGUCACAGGGAAGCGGGCAAGAGAGGGGCUGGGCCCAGCGCUGCCCCUUGCACCAGCACCGUUCAAGAGGGUUAGAACUCCAGUGACUCAGAAGAUGAUUCCCAGGGCAGCCUGGCAAUGAGCAGGAGGAGAAAGCAGCAUUGAUUCGAGGCAUUCUACGGAGGUCCCGGCCCAGCAGAAGCAGAGAGUUC